UGAAUACGAGACGCUAAGGCGUCGAAGUAGUGUAUGUCAUACUUCCAAGAAAAGCUUGCACUGUCAUAGAUAAAAAACGCCUGUACCAUAACCGACACAGGUGGGUAGGUAGAGUAUACUAAGGGGCGCGAGAUAACUCUCUCUAAGGAACUCGGCAAAAUAACUCCGUAACUUCGGGAGAAGGAGUGCCUUACUCGUAAGGUUGCAAUAACAAGAUCCAAGCAACUGUUUAUCAAAAACACAGGUCUCCGCUAAGUCGUAAGACGAUGUAUGGGGGCUGACACCUGCCCAGUGCCAGAAGGUUAAAGAAGUUGGUUAGCAAUUGCGAAGCUGAUAACUGAAGCCCUGGUGAACGGCGGCCGUAACUAUAACGGUCCUAAGGUAGCGAAAUUCCUUGUCGGGUAAGUUCCGACCCGCACGAAAGGCGUAAUGAUUUGGAUACUGUCUCGGAGAGGGGCUCGGUGAAAUAGACUUGUCUGUGAAGAUGCGGACUACCUGCACCAGGACAGAAAGACCCUAUGAAGCUUUACUGUAACUUGAAAUUGAAAUUGGACUUUAUUCGCGCAGCAUAGGUGGGAGGCGUUGAUUAUAAUCUUGCGGGGUUAUUGGAGCCAUCAGUGAGAUACCACUCUUGUAAUGUUAGAUUUCUAACUUUGAAUCAUUAUCUGGUCAAAGAACAGUUUCAGGCGGGCAGUUUGACUGGGGCGGUCGCCUCCUAAACGGUAACGGAGGCGUACAAAGGUUUCCUCUGAACGGUUAGAAAUCGUAUCUAGAGUGUAAAGGCAUAAGGAAGCUUGACUGUGAGACCUACAAGUCGAGCAGGGACGAAAGUCGGUCUUAGUGAUCUGACGGUACUGAGUGGAAAGGCCGUCACUCAACGGAUAAAAGUUACUCUAAGGAUAACAGGCUGAUCUCCCCCAAGAGUUCACAUCGACGGGGAGGUUUGGCACCUCGAUGUCGGCUCAUCGCAUCCUGGGGCGGUAGUACGUCCCAAGGGUUGGGCUGUUCGCCCAUGAAAGCGGUACGCGAGCUGGGUUCAGAACGUCGUGAGACAGUUCGGUCCAUAUCCGGUGUAGGCGUUAGAAUAUUGAGAGGAGCCUUCUUUAGUACGAGAGGACCGAGAAGGACAUACCUCUGGUGUACCAGUUAUCGUGCCAACGGUAAACGCUGGGUAGCUAUGUAUGGAGUGGAUAACCGCUGAAAGCAUCUAAGUGGGAAGUCCACCUCAAGAUAAGUAUUCUCAC
rnacentral:rRNA from 1 species